ensembl:lncRNA
UUAGUCUGAGUUACCUUUUAUUAGUGUUAUACUGAUUUGAGCACAACUGCUCACAAGGAAAAGUUUGAUAAGCAUGAUGCAAAAAAAACCACCCUAAAGUCAUUUUCAGUCGCGUAAAAUGAUCAUGACAUUCUGAUUGUUUUUUUUUUUUUAGGUUAAAGAAAAAUAUGAAAAUAGAGUUGACAGUACAUUUAGGCACACUAUUAACACAUACUGUACACAGAUAUGCACAAUUUUCAUUAUCAUAGAUUCAUAUAUACUGGGGUUAAAAAAAGACAAGCCUUCCUGUAUGGAGAGGUGUGCAGAAAGUUAAAGGUGACAUCUCCUCCUCCAUCAUGGGGGACAACAUAUUCGCCUCCCAAUAAGAGAGGCUCCAGUCCAUGUCCUCCUACCUCAGCCAAUCGGAGUCCACCAGGGCUGCUCAGUGCAAGCAAAUCACAGCAGACGAGGGAGUUUCCAUCCAAUGACUGCAGCAGAAUGUGGCUACGUUCAGCCAAUGGGAGAGGGGCUCCCACAGUUGCUACGGUAAGUGCUAAUUAGCAGUGAUUCCAUUGGUCACAAGCCACACCUGUGAACCUGUUGGAUGGGUGGGUGGUGCACGCGCAAAGGUGGGGUGUCCUCCAGCAGAAAGUUCAUAAUAACAAAGCUCUCUUCACACUCAAUAUAACAGGCUUGAAUGCAUAAAACACCGCUUAUGAGUUAAAAAGAAGCAGUUGUUCGGGGCGCCUCUGAACUAGCUCUAGCCCAACAAGCUAAUCAUCGGGCCAGAAACAGCCCCCCCCCCCCCACCACUGCCGAAUCGAAACACAGAUUCUGCAAGAGUGGGCGGGGAAUAAGUGGAAAAUACCACCCCGCACACCCAAAAAAAAAAAAAAAAACAACAAAAACAAAACUCAGACUUAUAAAACAAGUCUGUUAAAUAAACAUUGUAUUUUUACAACAACGGAAUGUUAAGUUGUUGGGACAUGACAACAUUUGUGGGGAAACUUCUCUUGUGUUUUCUACCAUUAAAACAAUAUGAAUUACCAUUUGCAGUACACAAUGAUUCAAAAUGCACAUGCAAUAAAAAAAAAAUAUUGCACCAAUUUAAAGACAUUUUCUCAGGAUAAAAGUGAUUAGGGAUAUAUCUCCAUAUCUCUACCUUGAUUUCAUUGUAAUGUUCAGUCGUGUGAAGGAGAGCUACCGCGCGUCUCUUGGUCAGUUUAUACUGAAUAUAGAUUUAAGGCUGGUUCACUAGCUCGCACUGGCACAGUUUCUGACUGAAGAGGUUUGCAUCUCCGUGCCCCACACCCCCACACACAC